rnacentral:rRNA from 1 species
GAUGAACGCUGGCGGCGUGCCUAAUACAUGCAAGUCGAGCGAACGGACGAGAAGCUUGCCUCUCUGAUGUUAGCGGCGGACGGGUGAGUAACACGUGGAUAACCUACCUAUAAGACUGGGAUAACUUCGGGAAACCGGAGCUAAUACCGGAUGAUAUUUUGAACCGCAUGGUUCAAAAGUGAAAGACGGUCUUGCUGUCACUUAUAGAUGGAUCCGCGCUGCAUUAGCUAGUUGGUAAGGUAACGGCUUACCAAGGCAACGAUGCAUAGCCGACCUGAGAGGGUGAUAGGCCACACUGGAACUGAGACACGGUCCAGACUCCUACGGGAGGCAGCAGUAGGGAAUCUUCCGCAAUGGGCGAAAGCCUGACGGAGCAACGCCGCGUGAGUGAUGAAGGUCUUCGGAUCGUAAAACUCUGUUAUUAGGGAAGAACAUAUGUGUAAGUAACUGUGCACAUCUUGACGGUACCUAAUCAGAAAGCCACGGCUAACUACGUG